CCAUCAAAGUGGCUGUGAAGCA
rnacentral:miRNA from 9 species